rnacentral:rRNA from 1 species
GACGAACGCUGGCGGCGUGCUUAACACAUGCAAGUCGAACGGAAAGGCCCUGCUUUUGUGGGGUGCUCGAGUGGCGAACGGGUGAGUAACACGUGAGUAACCUGCCCUUGACUUUGGGAUAACUUCAGGAAACUGGGGCUAAUACCGGAUAGGAGCUCCUGCUGCAUGGUGGGGGUUGGAAAGUUUCGGCGGUUGGGGAUGGACUAGCGGCUUAUCAGCUUGUUGGUGGGGUAGUGGCUUACCAAGGCUUUGACGGAUAGCCGGCAUGGGAGGGGGACCGGCCACAUUGGGACUGAGAGACGGCCCAGACUCGUACGGGAGGCAACGGUGGGGAGUAUUGCACAGUGGGCGGGAGCCUGAUGCAGCAGCGCCGCGUGCGGGAUGACGGCCUUCGGGUAAUAAACCGCAGUCGCCUGUGACGAAGCGGGAGUGACGGUAAUGGGUAAAGAAGCACCGGCUAACUACGUG